rnacentral:lncRNA from 1 species
CAAUUAUAAACAUUUUCCUAUAGUAUAUCGAUCCAUAGUUUUAUGAAUAAUAAUGAAUAUUAAAUUUUGCUAUAUCAUAAGUUACCUCUUUUUCGCUCCAUAAAAUUUUUUCGUAAAUUACAACCGCAAACGCUCUUCCAUAUAAUAUAUAUGCGUAACACGUAAUAUAAUUACAAGCAAUAAUGAAUAUCGAAUUUCACUAUAUUUUAAAUUAUCCUUAUUUUUGCUCCAGUAAAAUUAAGAGGCAUGUGAAUCAACCGACUACUCUAAAAAAGUUUUGGGUUAGAAACCUACGGAACAAUAGUAAACUCAGUAGAUUUUUUCGUAAAUGAUAAUUAUAAACGCUUUUCCAUAGUACGCCCACAGUUUCAUGAAAAAUAAUGAAUAUUAAAAUUCACUAUUUUAUAACUUUUGCUUUCCUUUGCUCUAGCAACUAAAUUGAGCAGUAUAUGAAAUAACAGACUAAUCUAGAAAAGUUUUGAGUUUAAAAUCUACAAAUAAAUUCGAAACAUAUUUUUCGUAAACGAUAACUAUAAAUGUUUUUCCAUAAUAUAUCGAUCCAUAGUUUUAUGAAUAAUAAUAAAUAUUAAAUUUUACUAUAUCAUAAGUUAUCUUUUUUUCGCUCCAUAAAUUUUUUUCAUAAAUAACAACCGCAAACGCUCUUCCAUAUAAUAUAUAUACGUAACACGUAAUAUAAUUACAAGCAAUANGAUAACUAUAAAUGUUUUUCCAUAAUAUAUCGAUCCAUAGUUUUAUGAAUAAUAAUAAAUAUUAAAUUUUACUAUAUCAUAAGUUAUCUUUUUUUCGCUCCAUAAAUUUUUUUCAUAAAUAACAACCGCAAACGCUCUUCCAUAUAAUAUAUAUACGUAACACGUAAUAUAAUUACAAGCAAUAAUGAAUAUCGAAUUUCACUAUAUAUUAAAUUAUCCUUUCUUUUGCUCCAGUAAAAUCAAGAGGCAUGUGAAUCAACCGACUACUCUAAAACAGUUUUGGGUUAGAAACCUACGGAACAAUAAUAAACUCAGUAGAUUUUUUCGUAAAUGACAAUUAUAAAC